GUAUGCAGUCAUACCAACACUAACGCACCGGAUUCCAUCAGAACUCCGAAAUUAAGCGCGCAUGGGCGAGAGUAGUACUAGGAUGGGUGACCUCCUGGGAAGACCUCGUGUUGCAUCCC